rnacentral:rRNA from 1 species
AGCGAACGCUGGCGGCAGGCUUAACACAUGCAAGUCGAACGGGCGUAGCAAUACGUCAGUGGCAGACGGGUGAGUAACGCGUGGGAACGUACCUUUUGGUUCGGAACAACACAGGGAAACUUGUGCUAAUGCCGAAUGUGCCCUUCGGGGAAGAUUUAUCGCCUUUAGAGCGGCCCGCGUCUGAUUAGCUUGUUGGUGAGGUAAAGGCUCACCAAGGCUACGAUCAGUAGCUGGUCUGAGAGGAUGAUCAGCCACACUGGGACUGAGACACGGCCCAGACUCCUACGGGAGGCAGCAGUGGGGAAUCUUGCGCAAUGGGCGAAAGCCUGACGCAGCCAUGCCGCGUGAAUGAUGAAGGUCUUAGGAUUGUAAAAUUCUUUCACCGGGGAAGAUAAUGACGGUACCCGGAGAAGAAGCCCCGGCUAACUUCGUG